GUUUUAGUGAUGAUCUUCUGUCCCUCUAAAACUACCAUAACUUGAUUAUUUGCCAGUGGUGUUAUGGCAAACUAUGAUUAGCCAAAUAGAAACCAACUCUACAAAAUGAUGAUUUUGCUGGUUGAUGUAAAGGACCUGUGUCCNUUUGUCCACAUAUUAGUCCUUUAAUCAUAUUGGAAAAAUCAAAAAGCUUUCUAUACCAAUGACAGUGGAGAUUGAGAAGAUUCUGUUAAUUUUUGUGAAUGAACAGACUCCCGCUUGAGAAAAAGUGCAUAAAGAAGCUCAUUCCAGGAAUCAGGGACACCAGGCAAGCACCAAUGACUGCAGUCUUGACGGUGUAGAGAAGCUGGACC
rnacentral:misc_RNA from 1 species